GCCAGACCUAGCCCUACGCAACUCCCAACUCAACUACCAACAACACCCAAAAACCAAAACAUUUACUCCCAUAAAAGUAUAUGUGAUAGAAAUUUUACCAACAGGCGCUAUAGAGAUAGUACCGCAAGGGAAAGAUGAAAGAAAAACUAACAGCGCAAAAUAGCAAAGAUACACCCUUCUACCUUUUGCAUAAUGAAUUAACCAGAAAGACCCUUGCAAAGAGCACUUUAGUUAAAAACCCCGAACCCAGACGAGCUACCUGCGGACAGUAUGAGAACCAAUUCAUCUAUGUGGCAAAAUAGUGAAAAGAUCUUCAGGUAGAGGUGAAAAGCCAAUCGAGCCUGGCGAUAGCUGGUUGUCCAGAAACUGAAUCUAAGUUCAACCUAAAAUUUACCCAAAGAACAUAACACCGAAUCGCAACGUAAAUUUUAGAUAUAGUCAACAGAGGUACAGCUCUGUUGACAAGGGACAAACCCCCCUUAGAGAGUAACUUCAUCCCACACUCCAUAGUAGGCCUAAAAGCAGCCACCAAUAAAGAAAGCGUUCAAGCUCAACAACAAUCACACCAAAAAUUCCAGAAGUAGACCAAACCAACUCCUAAACCCCCACUGGACCAAUCUAUAACAAUAGAAGAGACAAUGUUAAUAUAAGUAACAAGAACAAACUUCUCCAUGCACAAGCUUAUAUCAGAACGGACCAACCACUGAUAGUUAACGGCCAGACCUCUCCACACCACCGAACAUUAAUACAGGCCACCACCCGCCGUUAACCCAACACUGGAGUGCACACUGGAAAGAUUAAAAGAGGCAGAAGGAACUCGGCAAACACAAAUCCCGCCUGUUUACCAAAAACAUCACCUCUAGCAUAACAAUUAUUAGAGGCAUCGCCUGCCCAGUGACACAUGUUCAACGGCCGCGGUACCCUGACCGUGCAAAGGUAGCAUAAUCAUUUGUUCCCUAAUUAGGGACUUGUAUGAAAGGCCGAACGAGGAUUUUACUGUCUCCUACCUCCAAUCAGUGAAAUUGACCUCCCCGUGAAGAGGCGGGGAUGAACCUAUAAGACGAGAAGACCCUAUGGAGCUUUAAUUAACUAGCCCAACCACAAUACCUACAAACCGACAGGAACAACAACCAACGACCUGGGCUGGCAAUUUCGGUUGGGGUGACCUCGGAGCACAAAAAACCCUCCGAAUGGCUAUGUACUUAGACCUACCAGUCAACGUACCCCAAUACCAUUAAUUGACCCAAACAAUUGAUCAACGGAACAAGUUACCCUAGGGAUAACAGCGCAAUCCUAUUUCAGAGUCCAUAUCGACAAUAGGGUUUACGACCUCGAUGUUGGAUCAGGACAUCCCAAUGGCGCAACCGCUAUUAAUGGUUCGUUUGUUCAACGAUUAAAGUCCUACGUGAUCUGAGUUCAGACCGGAGCAAUCCAGGUCGGUUUCUAUCUAUAAACCUUUUCUCCCAGUACGAAAGGACAAGAGAAAUAGGGCCCACUCUGCUAGAGCGCCCUAAAGUCAAACAGAUGAACUAAUCUAAAUCUAGUCGACACCCCACCCCACAACCCAAGACAAGGGUUU
rnacentral:rRNA from 1 species